CAAGUCCCACCCGGCCAAGGGUAGCCGCCAGCCGGUAGCGAGUCUUGCGCAGCAUCGGGCAACCGGCGCUGUGAAGCGUAGACAGUGAGUGAGCAGGCCGUGUGAUAGAGCACCGAAAUGUUGGAAUCGUGGCUGCCGACAUUCUGCCCGACGUGGAAGGCAACACCGACCCGCUGAAAUGGCUUGGCGGAAAGGAGCCACCGGUGUCAGAGAGCA
rnacentral:ncRNA from 1 species